rnacentral:tRNA from 6 species
GGGCGUAUAGCUCAGCUGGGAGAGCGCUGCAGUCACAUUGCAGAGGUCACAGGUUCGAUCCCUGUUACGCCCACCA